CUAUGUACGAUCUAGAGAUAAAACAAUCAGCUAUGCUGACGGCCAAAUGUAAGGAGUGUGGUGACCACUUCUCAGCUGGAGAAGACUUUCAGACAAAAAGCCAUCAAAAUAUGAAAGCUAAAAUUUUCAGCUCAAAGUUGGAAAGGAGUGACAAGAAGGGAUAUGCUCAAUGUGAACCUGAUCUUAGUGGGAAAGAACACCAUUAAGUAUCAUUCUCACCAUUAAAUGAUCUGAUCCAUCCAUGCCUGCUGACCAUCAGCCACAGAUCAUUGGCUUGUCUUAUGGCAAAGUCAGUACACACCGGAACGUGGUUGCCUCAUCUGAAUGCCCGAGGAAAGUCUACAAGCUUCUCUCUCUUUCAAGUUGCUCUCUUUCUCGUCUGUCUCUUUGCACCAGAUCUGCCAGCCUCCAGGAGCUGAGAGGGGCAAGAUAGCAACGAGGCCCCAUCCUAGGGUAUGGUGUGUCAGUUGCUAACAUGGGUUCGUGGUGGUGGGUCCUUCUGUCUGUAUUCAAAAUCAUAGCAAUCCAUUUAGGCACCGCUGUUCCUUCCAGGCAAAUGUGCAAUAACACAGUUGGCCCAUUAACAUUGCAGCUGCAUAGAAGAUUAGUCACUUUGCGCUGUGCUGCCUGGUUAAAGCAUCCACGACCACUUACGGAAUUUGGGAACAGCACUGCUGCAAUGAGCUGAUGCACUGUUUACAAUCAUUCUCAAUACAGACAACACAUCAUUCUUGGUUUUCUGUGUGGGUUGGGUGGCUGAAAACAUCUCCCACCAAGCUGAUACUUUUUAUACAGCUCUAGAGUGGGGGAAAAAAAGAGCCUUCCUGAUGCUCCUUCUGCUCUCCAUUGGGAUUCUCCAUUGAGGAAAAAGAUGGGUUUCAUCAACCGUCCCAAGAAAAUAGGCUGAUAACUUCCUCAAUUAAGCUGUGGCUUCUUAAAUUCAGGGCUUGUGAUUGGUUACAAUGGAUCCUGAAGCCUCUACAGGAUAAGAACUACGCAUGAUUCUCCUGAAGCAUUUAACAUGCAUGGCACAUGCUAUUAGCCCCUUUGGUUUUAAUUUAUCCUGAGAAAUGCAUCUCUUUUCACGCAAAUAUUUUGUAGAUAUUGACGUAUGGACGUUUUAAAGAUUUUAGGAUAGAUGGAAGACAACUUUGCAGAAGCUAUUUCCGUUUUCACUCCACGCCUUAAAUAUAAGGAAGAAAGGCCCUUGGCACAAAGGGUGAGCCUAUUUCCAAACGUUCACUGGAGUCGGCUUCUUUGGCCCUCUCUGGGAUGUGAAGCGACAACAAUGUGAAAUAGCUCUCAAGUGCAAAAAUAACUAAUGGCAUCUGAAAGAGUUAGGCCAAAGAUGGCAAAUACCUCGUCCCAGGCUUCAACUGAAAGCUGAACACACUUACCACACUUCCACUCUGGAACAAAAUGAGGGGCGUUGGAGUGGCUCAGUCAGUUAAACACCCGGCUCAUGACUUUGCUCAGGUCAUGAUCUCAUGGUUUGUGAGUUCGAGUCCCACAUCAGGAUCCAUGCCGUCAGCAUGAGCAUGUCCUGCUUGAGAUUCUCUCUCCCUCUCUCUCUCUCUCUCUCUGCCCUCCCCGGUCAUGCUCUCUCUCAAAAUAAAUAACUUAAAAAAUAAUUAAAAACAAGAAAUAUAGCACAUCAAACUGUAAUUAAAAUAAAAACUUAAACAAAUAUAUACAUAGAACAUACUAGAGAGAUGGGGGGGGAAAGUCAGCUUUAUUACUGGUAAAACAUGCUUAAGAAGUCUUUUUAAAUGUGUCACUGCAACUGGGUUUGCUAACGCCUUCCCUAAAAUGACAGCCUCACCCCUGUUGCCACAAGACAUCACAGACAGCCCUGGAAUUAGUCUGCUCAGGCUGCCGUAACAAAAUACCACAGGCUGGGUGGCUUAAACAACAGACAUUUCUUGUCUGACAGUUCUGGAGGCUGGAAGUGCAGGAACAAGGUGUCAGAAGAUUUGGUUCCUUCUGGGGUCUCUCUCCUUGGCCAUCUUCUCUCUGCACCCUCCUGUGGUCCUUUCUCCGCAUGUGUCUAUGUCCUAAAUCCUCUCUUUUUAUAAGGACACCAGUCAGAUUGGAGUAGGGCCCACCCUACCGGCCUGAUUUUAACUUAAUUGCCUCUUUAAAAGCCCUUUCUCCAAAUAGGGUCACAUUCUGGGGUACUGGGAUUCGGUAGGCAAGAAUUUUGAGGAGGUGAAAUUCAGCCUGCAACAUCCCUCCAGCAAGUGCAGACAGUUUGCUACAAGGAAAGGCAGAGAGGAGUUAUUUUUCUGGGGGACAGCUCAGCUGAUCGUUUCUCAGUCCUGGCUGUACAUUAGGGCCAGCCAGGGAACUGUGAAAGCCAUCAGUGCCCGGAGCUCGACCACAGGUAAACUGAGGUCUAAUCUCUGGGACUGGGGCCAAGAUAUGAGUGGGUUUUGGAAGCCCCACUAGAUGACGAUGGUGUGCAUUCAGCACUGAGAUCCACCAGAUUCACUCAAAAGAGGCAGAGAGAAAGGAACAGGAUGGGGGCACACACUCAGGUCCUUCUUACAGUAUUCCCAAUUCCACGAGGUGCUUCCCUUCAGAAAGAUGAGAGGGGAAAGAAGGAGACUGACUGCCCCUAAGUAUUCCUUUCCCUAUGCAGGAUGUAGGAGACAGGGAGCCUGGCUUAGCAGAAACACAUCAAUUAUGCCUGGCCUGGGGGGAGGAGUGUCUUGCCCCCCACCACUCCUGACAUCUGCAAAGGAGGCGAGGCUCAGUGUCUAAGAACCAGGUCCUGUAUUGCCAGCUCAGGCACAACCUUCUCAAACCUUCAUCUCCGACCAUCUCCCUGGGGCAGCAAAUUGUUCCAACCUGCCCUUUGCACGGGACACUGAUGGACCGUGGGAAGCUGAGAUUUAGUUCUCCAUUUCCUGCACCCCUCUGGCUACUGGAUCUCAAUUCUGGGCAGCUGGUCAACCCAUCAGGAAUCCACUAAAGCAAAUCAUUUUGCUUCUCCACAGCAGGCUGACUUCAGUAACCACCAAGAAUUCAUUACUGCUCUGGUUUGUUUACACUCGCUAGGAACAGACAGUGCCUGUGAAUUAUUUGGAGACACGCCUUUCCCUAUAAAUCAGGUUUAAUCUAUGCUUCAGAUACGUAAGACAGCAUCUGGAGCUUCCUCUUUCUUCCCCCUUUUUUUCUUUAGUCAAAUGGGUAUGGAGGCACCUCCCUUUACAGGUCAUAUCCAGUAGGAAAA